UACGUAGGGGGCAAGCGUUGUCCGGAAUCAUUGGGCGUAAAGAGCGUGUAGGCGGCUCGGUAAGUCCGCUGUAAAAGUCCAGGGCUCAACCCUGGAAAGCCGGUGGAAACUGUCGAGCUAGAGUCCGGAAGAGGCGAGUGGAAUUCCCAGUGUAGCGGUGAAAUGCGUAGAUAUUGGGAAGAACACCGGUGGCGUAGGCGACUCGCUGGGCUGUAACUGACGCUGAGGAACGAAAGCCAGGGGAGCGAAUGGG
rnacentral:rRNA from 1 species